CACGUAGGGCGCAAGCGUUGUCCGGAAUUAUUGGGCGUAAAGAGCUCGUAGGCGGUCUGUUGCGUCCGCUGUGAAAACCCGGGGCUUAACCCUGGGCUGGCAGUGCAUACGGACAGACUAGAGGUAGGUAGGGGAGAAUGGAAUUCCCGGUGUAGCGGUGAAAUGCGCAGAUAUCGGGAGGAACACCGGUGGCGAAGGCGGUUCUCUGGGCCUUACCUGACGCUGAGGAGCGAAAGCGUGGGGAGCGAACAGG
rnacentral:rRNA from 1 species